UUUUUUUUUUUUUAUGGCUGACGGGUCUAUGCAUUGUGUUAUGCUUAACAACCAGAGCUUUCGAGCCUCUAUGGCUGGCGACAAGUCACGAGAUCUUCAGGCAAAUGGGGGGUGGGUGGGCAGGGGUUUUGUGUGUGUGUGUAUGUGUGUGUGCAGUCAAGGGGCUGGGGCAGGAUGCGCAGAACAGAAGUACCCAAAGGAUAUCACCCUAAUAAUGCUUUAUAGGCUGGUCCAGUUGAACUCCGUUAAAACAAACCCAAAGAAAACCGUUUAUUUGCAUUCCAUUUUUCAAGCUGUGAGUUUUUAACACAUCAUUAUAAAGUAAACCUGUGGUUGAUUGUGAAGGAAGAAACACCGUGGGUUUUCCCUUUUUGCUCAGUUUUCCAGAAAUGUCCUCACCUUGGUCAGAGCCAGUCUUUCAUCAAGUAAGCAGCAUUCGGUGGGGAGCCUCUUUAUUCCAGCUGCAAUUCAAGAUGUAGACAGCUAAAAUGUUUAAGCCUAUUGAAUUGCUCCUUUCGUCCCUGUCGAGACAUUUUUUUCUCAGAAGCAGCCACUUAAUCUCUCAACCUUUGUUUUCCCUCUCUGAGUGAAAGAGUUUAUAAAUCAGAGGGUUAUUUUGUUGCUGAGAUUUUUUUUGUUUUUUGUUUUUUGUUUUUUUGUUUUUUUACUCCUGCAAGUUUUACAACUUAAAAUAAAUUAUAAAAAAAAAAAAACACAACAGACUUCUAAAACCGAACAGGACAAAAAUUGUGCAAAAAUAACAAAGAUAUGUACAUACUUUUCAGUCUGAAGAAAUGUACAAUAAAAACAUAAUUCAAAGAACAUUUUAAAAAUAUAAACAUUGCUUAAACUUUCCUACGUUUCAUAUUGUUUCUGAAACUAUUCUGGUCAGUUAGCUCUGUAAUAUAGUAAAACAUAAAUUAUUACAAAAUUAACACUAUAAAAAUUUACUUUAAGAAUAUCUUCUAAACUUUUUUUUCCAAAGGGUCUAACCUGUUUAUAAUUUCUUAAACAUUUUAUAAGUCUUAAAAUCUGCCUUAACUUUUUUUUUUAAAAAAAGAAAAAGUAACCAUCUUCCCUUCAAUUUGUAGUCUCUUUUUCCCAAGACGUAAAUAAACCAGCAUAUAAGUGCACUUUUAACACUGUAGAAAUAAAAAUGAAAUCAUCUGAACUAAGGUCCUGGUACCUAAUAUCAACUCCUGAUUUUUAAAAAAAUCUUCAUUUUAUAUUAAAAAUUUUAGGAAUCCUAUAAGAAACAUGGUCAGUGCAAUUCCAUUGAUACAAAUCACUCCAUUUGCCUCCCGUCUUCGCAAAAUCCAAUGUGGUGAAACGUAACAGUAGUCUGAUCUUUGGGUUGUGGGGAUGGGAAGGAAGAGAGGGAAACUUUAGGGUAGGGAUGAGGGUUUGGGCCCAGCUGCAAAACUGGCAUUCACUUCGGAAUUGGGGAUGAAGCAAAACUUCCUAGUAUCUCCUGCUAUCACAUCGUCUGCAAAAUUUCAUGGUUAAUAGCACAGGAUGCCUAGUUCACGUGGUCAAUUCCUUUCCCGAUUACCGGUCCCUAGCGCAGCUUGUGGUAUUGCUAUUUCUUUCAAAACUCCAGUGUGGACAGUGUUAUAGCCGUAGGGCUCUAGCUUCUCUCCCGCUCUUCCAAAUAGCUCUUCUCCACUCGGGGGAGCUGGGCUUGCUGCACCCCCCCCCCCCCCGGGGUGGCUGCAUCUGAGUUGGGGCUUGGAAGAGCCUAGUGCAAGCUCAUCUACGGGUGUGCCCGUUGCACGGGACCCUGGAGCCUGGGACCCCGAGGCGGGUGGGCAGUGCUCGGAUUUAUUCUCACCAGGUGUUUGCUACUCGACCCUCGUGGAAGCUUGCCCCGGAUGCUUCCUGCACCCCCAGCACUGCUCUUUCUCCUCCUGCCUAGCCCCGGAGGGCAGCCUGAGAACUGCCACCGCUGAGGGCACCGUGCCCCCUCCUGAGUGGCUUCCUGGGGUUCCCGUGCCCUUCUUCCUGGGAUUUCUCCUUCUUGGGUCCCCCUAGCUUUGGCGCGCUUGUCCCUGGCACCCUGGAAGGUUCUGCAGAGCAUGGAUUCCUA
rnacentral:lncRNA from 1 species